rnacentral:lncRNA from 1 species
UUUGGAGUUUAGAUUAAGGCAAGUUCUGUAAACAUUUCAUCCUCGAUGUGGUUUUUCACUCAUCUUCAAAUGCUACAAGGACGAUAAGUACUUACCUGCAGGGAUCCUUCUGUACUUACCUGCAGGGAUCCUUACCUGCAGGGAUCCUUCUGUACUUACCUGCAGGGAUCCUUCUGUACUUAUGUGGUACUUAAGAGGGUCAACACCUUAGACUGUUAAACCAAGUACAGGAAGUGGUAACACAACAAUAUGGGAGAGAGUCAUUUGUUACUAGCCAAUAAAGCUGAGUUUCUGUCUCUGAGCUUUUGGAUAAUACACGGUUGGUGCAGGAGGUUGAUAAGAGUAAUGAAAGGAAUGAACAUGUCCAUCAGUCUAUGUCAUCAUUUGAAGCUUCGGUCAUUUGUUAGUACACAUCACAAAGCAUUGAUAUGACUAAUGAUCUUAUAGAUGCAGCAGACAUUACGACUCUCAAACCAUCCUCCUACAGCAAUCACUUACACCAAACAUCCCUACGCCCAUGCAGUCGCUUAAGCAGGUCACAGAAUUUUCCUCCAGAGAAAUUCAGAGUACUAUGUGGGUUGCUUAUCUCUGUUAUGACAGGCACAGAGUUGGCAUUCACUAGGUUUUGAAGAAGAGAAAAAACUCUUUACAAAAUUGUGGAUUACUCUGUGUAGAAGAGUAUAUAUACCAUCCAGUAAUUGAUGGUCAAACUGUAAGGAUGAACAGAUGAAAAGUUGUUUAUGUGAACUGGUGGUACACAUCUAAAGAGCAUCCUAGUAGAAGCACAUGUAUAUCAGAUAUUCACUGCUGCUGUUAUAGCGUAGUGAAUGCAGAUGUUCACGAUUGCUUUCGUUCUCUCCAAACUUCAUUCUUUGUGGUUCCAAAGGUGGCUCAGG